rnacentral:sRNA from 1 species
CAGUAAUGUCCUGGGCCUUCACAUUCAUUCACCACUCACUGACUCACCCAGAGCAACUUCCAGUCCUCCAAGCCCCAUUCAUGAGGGAGACCAAGACAUCAUUGUUUUGAAGUUUCUGAAAGUGUUGGGAGGCAAAAAUUCAGGUGCCUGGGGGAGAAAUGGAAGGCCACAAGGCAGAAGAAGAGGUGCUAGAUGUUCUCCGACUGAACGUGGGUGGCUGUAUUUACACAGCCCGGCGGGAGUCCUUGUGCCGCUUCAAGGACUCCAUGUUGGCAUCUAUGUUCAGUGGUCGCUUUCCUCUAAAAACAGAUGAGUCAGGGGCUUGUGUUAUUGACCGUGAUGGACGUCUAUUUAAAUACCUUUUGGAUUACCUUCAUGGAGAAGUUCAGAUUCCCACAGAUGAGCAAACCCGCAUCGCCCUGCAGGAAGAGGCUGAUUACUUUGGCAUCCCUUAUCCAUACAGCCUGUCUGACCAUUUGGCCAAUGAAAUGGAGACAUAUUCUUUAAGGCUUUAACAGACUUCUGUGAUUCAUAUGGCUUAGUCUGCAAUAAACCAACAGUUUGGGUUCUCCACUAUCUUAACACAUCUGGUGCAAGCUGUGAGAGUCGAAUUAUUGGUGUAUAUGCCACAAAAACUGAUGGAACAGACGCUAUUGAAAAGCAGCUGGGAGGAAGAAUUCACAGCAAAAGCAUUUUUAAAAGAGAGGCGGGAAAUAAUGUUCAGUACAUUUGGAGCUAUUAUUCAGUAGCAGAGUUGAAGAAAAUGAUGGAUGCCUUUGAUGCUUGGGAAGGAAAAGGUGUUAGCUACUGGCGGGUGCCUCAUGAGCUGAUAGAGUGUUGGACUCU